CCUACGGGUGACAGCAGUGAGGAAUAUUGGUCAAUGGGCGCGAGCCUGAACCAGCCAAGCAGCGUGAAGGAUGACUGCUCUAUGGGUUGUAAACUGCUUUUAUACAGGAGUAAACCUAGACACGUGUGUUCUUCUGCACGUACUUUACGAAUAAGGAUCGGCUAACUCCGUGCCAGCAGCCGCGGUAAUACGGAGGAUCCAAGCGUUAUCCGGAUUUAUUGGGUUUAAAGGGGGCGUAGGUGGAUUGAUAAGUUAGUGGUGAAAGUUUGGAGCUUAACUGUAGAAUUGCAGUUGAUACUGUCGAGCUAGAGAGCAGGUGUGGUAGGCGGAAUUCAUGGUGUAGCGGUGAAAUGCUUAGAGAUCACGCAGAACACCGAUUGCGAAGGCAGCUUACUAAACUGCAACUGACGUUGAGGCACGAAAGUGUGGGGAUCAAACAGGAUUAGAUACCCCUGUAGUC
rnacentral:rRNA from 1 species